rnacentral:rRNA from 1 species
UACGUAGGGUGCGAGCGUUAAUCGGAAUUACUGGGCGUAAAGCGUGCGCAGGCGGUUCGUUAAGUCAGAUGUGAAAGCCCCGGGCUCAACCUGGGAACUGCAUUUGAAACUGGCGGGCUUGAGUGUGGUAGGGGAGAUCGGAAUUCCUGGUGUAGCGGUGAAAUGCGCAGAUAUCAGGAGGAACACCGGUGGCGAAGGCGGAUCUCUGGGCCAUUACUGACGCUGAGGAGCGAAAGCGUGGGGAGCGAACAGG